rnacentral:rRNA from 1 species
UACGAAGGGGGCUAGCGUUGCUCGGAAUCACUGGGCGUAAAGGGUGCGUAGGCGGCCUUCUAAGUCGAACGUGAAAUCCCCGGGCUCAACCCGGGAACUGCGUCCGAUACUGGAAGGCUUGAAUCCGGGAGAGGGAUGCGGAAUUCCAGGUGUAGCGGUGAAAUGCGUAGAUAUCUGGAGGAACACCGGUGGCGAAGGCGGCAUCCUGGACCGGCAUUGACGCUGAGGCGCGAAAGCCAGGGGAGCAAACGGG